rnacentral:lncRNA from 1 species
AGCAAAAUCCAUAGUCUACAGAUACAAAUUUUUAAAAAUAAAAUAUUUUUUUAUUUAUUAAAAUCUUUACAAAGAAAAAGUCAGUGCUACAAGCACUUUACAAACAAAAAGGCGAUGUUUCAAAUACUUUGGGGGAUGAUUGCUCCAGGCACAAUCUUACGAACAAGAGAAGAAAAUGAGGAAUGUAAGAGGAAGAACAGGAGGAUAGUAGAAGAGGAGGAUAGUGGAAGAUGAAGGGAAAGAAGAGAAGAUGAGAAGGGAUGUCCCGCUGCAAUCGACGGAACAUCAGAUCGAUCAGGUGAGUUG